UGACCUUCCGUCUAUAGGCGUCCUUCCCAGCAAAGACUGACUCAAGCCUGGAAGUGGCCUCAGAGAACAGAGACUUCCAACGUCCUAAGGUGAGUCCCCCACACAAGGACAGGCCCCAGGGUCUCUCCACCCUGGGUUUGUUUAGAGCUGCAUGAUUUUGAACAAGGCACUUGUUCUCUGAGCUCGUUUCCUUCCUGUAAGGUGAGGAUGGGAUCAGGUGGGAUGUGUCAAGCUAGGCUGCUUAAGCUAAGCUAGUGACAGCUCACCCCGGAGUCACGGGGCUUUCAACCCCCAAGGCCAGGCGCUCACUCCUGCCUCCUGUCCACUCUACUUUGGUCAGCCAGGACUCUGCUUCAUGUCACCUUCAGCCCAGGCCCCAGGCUGGUGGAGGGGCUGUCGUGAGCGUGCAAUGAGCUCGAUCCACGAGAGCUCUGGAACUGUUUCCUCUGGGGCUGGAGUGUGACUCGGUGGCAGAGCACGCGCUUAGUAUGUGUGACACCUGGGGUCAGUCUAGGAAAAGAAAACCUGUUGCCCUGGAGUUCUGAUUCCCUUGUGUAUUUGCCAUCCACACAGUUCCAGCUCUUCAGAGCCACAUGGGGAGAUGGACUCACCACGGUUCACACAGUGUGGCGGUGGCUGUACAUCUAUGUUUCCAGCCCCAAAUUCAGAAGCUCUUCCACCCGGAGUCCUCUGGAAGGAUUGUUGACUGAGAUUAGUCCACCUCUCCCUUUCAUCACAUGAACGAACAAAAUGACCUCUCCGGCUUUCCUCUUGCCCUCUGGCGGUCAGGAAGCUCAGAGGGAACAGCCGCAUUACAGGCGCCAGAGUUAGAAUAAGGUGCUUCUCCAUUCACGAUGCGGUUGUACCACCACGGAGCUGAAAAAUGGUUAAGCUGAACCAUGGUAAGUGGGGGAGUUUAUAUCUCCUUGUAGCGUUCGUG
rnacentral:lncRNA from 1 species